rnacentral:lncRNA from 1 species
CAUCUAACCAAAAGCAUGGCAAAAGGAAAUCAAACCAAUUGGGGGUCAUCCUUUUAACCUAUCCUUUUCAUACCCACUACCUCUUUCAAACAAGAACCACGCGCCAAAGAAAAAUAGGGGCAACUUUGUGAAUCUCACGCGAAGUCUUCGCCCUGAAAUUCAUCGACCCAUAAUCCCAAGACUGGGGCAGCUUUACAGACCGCCUUUGAAUUUUCACCCUAAUUUUCAUGAAUCCAAACCCCAGCUCAUUUUCCCAAACACCAAACCGGGGCAACAAAAUAAAUAAAUAAAUAAAUAAAUAUAAAAAAAAUUGGUAUAUCGAGUUUGUCUUGACCCUCACAUAUUACAUCUCCUUUGGGGAUUUUAGUGUCCGCGUGACUGUCCCAGCCUUCCAAACCAUUCUAAACAACUCUCUUUCUUUUCAAAAUCAUCCUCCUGCCAACAAAUUCAAGCAUGUGUGCACUGAUGUCAAAAAAAAAAGUCAAAAUGUAAUAGUCUCAAAUUUAGGCCUCGGAGGCAUGACAUUCCUCAGUUUUCACAAAACAUUGAAAAUAAAGACCAGUUUGAUGAUUGCAAGCAAGAUGACUGACUCAAGAAAAAGAAAUGCAAAACAAAGCAAAUGUUUUCAUCAAUCAAUCA